GCAUCUAUAGUAUAAUGGUAGUACAGUUCACUUCGGAUGUUCUAACAUUGGUUCAAAUCCAAUUGGAUGCU
rnacentral:tRNA from 1 species